AAGUCGAGCGGAGAGAGGUAGCUUGCUACUGAUCUUAGCGGCGGACGGGUGAGUAAUGCUUAGGAAUCUGCCUAUUAGUGGGGGACAACAUUUCGAAAGGAAUGCUAAUACCGCAUACGUCCUACGGGAGAAAGCAGGGGAUCUUCGGACCUUGCGCUAAUAGAUGAGCCUAAGUCGGAUUAGCUAGUUGGUGGGGUAAAGGCCUACCAAGGCGACGAUCUGUAGCGGGUCUGAGAGGAUGAUCCGCCACACUGGGACUGAGACACGGCCCAGACUCCUACGGGAGGCAGCAGUGGGGAAUAUUGGACAAUGGGCGCAAGCCUGAUCCAGCCAUGCCGCGUGUGUGAAGAAGGCCUUAUGGUUGUAAAGCACUUUAAGCGAGGAGGAGGCUACUUUAGUUAAUACCUAGAGAUAGUGGACNUUACUCGCAGAAUAAGCACCGGCUAACUCUGUGCCAGCAGUCGCGGUAAUACAGAGGGUGCAAGCGUUAAUCGGAUUUACUGGGCGUAAAGCGCGCGUAGGCGGCUAAUUAAGUCAAAUGUGAAAUCCCCGAGCUUAACUUGGGAAUUGCAUUCGAUACUGGUUAGCUAGAGUGUGGGAGAGGAUGGUAGAAUUCCAGGUGUAGCGGUGAAAUGCGUAGAGAUCUGGAGGAAUACCGAUGGCGAAGGCAGCCAUCUGGCCUAACACUGACGCUGAGGUGCGAAAGCAUGGGGAGCAAACAGGAUUAGAUACCCUGGUAGUCCAUGCCGUAAACGAUGUCUACUAGCCGUUGGGGCCUUUGAGGCUUUAGUGGCGCAGCUAACGCGAUAAGUAGACCGCCUGGGGAGUACGGUCGCAAGACUAAAACUCAAAUGAAUUGACGGGGGCCCGCACAAGCGGUGGAGCAUGUGGUUUAAUUCGAUGCAACGCGAAGAACCUUACCUGGCCUUGACAUAGUAAGAACUUUCCAGAGAUGGAUUGGUGCCUUCGGGAACUUACAUACAGGUGCUGCAUGGCUGUCGUCAGCUCGUGUCGUGAGAUGNUGGGUUAAGUCCCGCAACGAGCGCAACCCUUUUCCUUAUUUGCCAGCGAGUAAUGUCGGGAACUUUAAGGAUACUGCCAGUGACAAACUGGAGGAAGGCGGGGACGACGUCAAGUCAUCAUGGCCCUUACGGCCAGGGCUACACACGUGCUACAAUGGUCGGUACAAAGGGUUGCUACCUAGCGAUAGGAUGCUAAUCUCAAAAAGCCGAUCGUAGUCCGGAUUGGAGUCUGCAACUCGACUCCAUGAAGUCGGAAUCGCUAGUAAUCGCGGAUCAGAAUGCCGCGGUGAAUACGUUCCCGGGCCUUGUACACACCGCCCGUCACACCAUGGGAGUUUGUUGCACCAGAAGUAGCUAGCCUAACUGCAAAGAGGGCGGUUACCACGGUGUGGCCGAUGACUGGGGUGAAGUCGUNACA
rnacentral:rRNA from 1 species